AACGAACGCUGGCGGCAUGCCUAACACAUGCAAGUCGAACGAGACCUUCGGGUCUAGUGGCGCACGGGUGCGUAACGCGUGGGAAUCUGCCCUUCGGUUCGGAAUAACUCAGGGAAACUUGAGCUAAUACCGGAUGAUGUCUUCGGACCAAAGAUUUAUCGCCAAGGGAUGAGCCCGCGUAGGAUUAGGUAGUUGGUGGGGUAAUGGCCCACCAAGCCGACGAUCCUUAGCUGGUCUGAGAGGAUGAUCAGCCACACUGGGACUGAGACACGGCCCAGACUCCUACGGGAGGCAGCAGUGGGGAAUAUUGGACAAUGGGCGAAAGCCUGAUCCAGCAAUGCCGCGUGAGUGAUGAAGGCCUUAGGGUUGUAAAGCUCUUUUACCAGGGAUGAUAAUGACAGUACCUGGAGAAUAAGCUCCGGCUAACUCCGUGCCAGCCGCCGCGGUAA
rnacentral:rRNA from 1 species